GCCCUCUUAGCUCAGUGGAUAGAGCGUCUGCCUCCGGAGCAGAAGGUCGCAGGUUCGAAUCCUGCAGGGGGCGCCA
rnacentral:tRNA from 1 species